GUGCACAUGAACCCAUAUUUUGGUUCAUACCCAGGCAUGGCAUUAAGAUAUGUAUGGGGUGUUCUGGAUAUGAUGGAGUGUGUAUGGAGGUUGUGAGUAAAUCAACAUGAAAUCGAUCACUCCUAGUAAUAGGAGAUCACAUCUUGUGUAUUCUCAAUCCUAGAUGACUCGGAUAAAGUAUUUUGGUCAAAAGUAGGAAGAAGAUUAGAAAGAGUUUCUAAUACUUCUUUAUUGGAGUCAUCAUUGGUUAAUUGAGAAUUGAUAUGAAUA
rnacentral:lncRNA from 1 species